CCUACGGGUGGCAGCAGUAGGGAAUCUUCCGCAAUGGGCGAAAGUCUGACGGAGCAACGCCGCGUGGGUGAAGAAGGUCUUCGGAUCGUAAAACUCUGUUGUUAGAGAAGAAAAUGCGCUAGAGUAACUGUUCACGCUUCGACGGUAUCUAACCAGAAAGCCACGGCUAACUACGUGCCAGCAGCCGCGGUAAUACGUAGGUGGCAAGCGUUAUCCGGAUUUAUUGGGCGUAAAGGGAACGCAGGCGGUCUUUUAAGUCUGAUGUGAAAGCCUCCGGCUUAACCGGGGAAGUGCAUUGGAAUCUGGGAGACUUGAGUGCAGAAGAGGAGAGUGGAACUCCAUGUGUAGCGGUGAAAUGCGUAGAUAUAUGGAAGAACACCAGUGGCGAAGGAGACUCUCUGGUCUGUAACUGACGCUGAGGUUCGAAAGCGUGGGUAGCAAACAGGAUUAGAUACCCCAGUAGUC
rnacentral:rRNA from 1 species